UGAGGAAUAUUGGGCAAUGCCCGCAAGGGUGACCCAGCAACGCCGCGUGGAGGAUGAAUGUCGUAAGAUUGUAAACUCCUGUUAGAGAGGAAGAAUAGUACCGGUUGGACCGGUAUAUGACUGUACCCUCAGAGAAAGCCCCGGCUAACUUCGUGCCAGCAGCCGCGGUAAUACGAAGGGGGCUAGCGUUGUUCGGAAUUACUGGGCGUAAAGCGCACGUAGGCGGGUAUUUAAGUCAGGGGUGAAAUCCCGGAGCUCAACUCCGGAACUGCCUUUGAUACUGGGUACCUAGAGUAUGGAAGAGGUAAGUGGAAUUCCGAGUGUAGAGGUGAAAUUCGUAGAUAUUCGGAGGAACACCAGUGGCGAAGGCGGCUUACUGGUCCAUUACUGACGCUGAGGUGCGAAAGCGUGGGGAGCAAACA
rnacentral:rRNA from 1 species